rnacentral:ncRNA from 2 species
CAUAGGCAGUGGCUUGGUUAAGGGAAUGGAACCCACCGAAGCCAUAGCGAAAGAGAGUCUUAAUAGGGCGAUUGUCACUGCUUAUGGACCCGAACCUGGGUGAUCUAUCCAUGAUCAGGAUGAAGCUUGGAUGAAACUAAGCAGAGGUCCGAACCGACUGAUGUUGAAGAAUCAGCGGAUGAGUUGUGGUUAGGGGUGAAAUGCCACUCGAACCCGGAGCUAGCUGG